CCUACGGGUGGCAGCAGUGGGGAAUAUUGGGCAAUGGGCGCAAGCCUGACCCAGCAACGCCGCGUGAAGGAAGAAGGCUUUCGGGUUGUAAACUUCUUUUCUGAGGGACGAAGAAAGUGACAGUACCUCAGGAAUAAGCCACGGCUAACUACGUGCCAGCAGCCGCGGUAAUACGUAGGUGGCAAGCGUUAUCCGGAUUUAGUGGGGGUAAAGGGCGUGGAGGCGGGUAAGCAAGUCAGAUGUGAAAGCCCAGGGCUCAACCCUGAGCCUGCAUUUGAAACGGUUUUUCUUGAGUGCUGGAGGGGCAAUCGGAAUUCCGUGUGUAGCGGUGAAAUGCGUAGAUAUACGGAGGAACACCAGUGGCGAAGGCGGAUUGCUGGACAGUAACUGACGCUGAGGCGCGAAAGCGUGGGGAGCAAACAGGAUUAGAUACCCUUGUAGUC
rnacentral:rRNA from 1 species